AGUUUGAAACAAGUGGUAUUUUUUAUUUUCCCGACGAUUUCGUCCCCCUGGCAAAUAAUAUCGAGUGACAAUCAAAAGUGUGUGGCCAGCAAGAAAGUGAGAGGUUAGGGCGCCCAGGAGCAACAUACGGCUGGCUGGCAUGCUUGAUCUUAUCCUCCCAGGCCGCUCCGGGCAGCACAUAAGUAUUUUGUGUUAAGAGGGAGCUCGAAUAGCUUGACUUCAAGAAGUUGGAAACGCAUAAACUAUUCCCACUCGAUAUCUCCGCAAUUUCACUCUCCACGGAAAAUUCGGAAGAUUCCAUUGAGAAACAGUGAUCUCAGCCACAAAAUGUGCUCC
rnacentral:sRNA from 2 species